GAGAACUGCCAAGACGCUCUGGCUUGUGGCAUGUGACACUCUGAGUAGGUAACAGGUACCAGCUACUGUCAGCAGGGAGGAAGGUAUGUGGUGACCACGAGUCCAGACCUGAGGGUCCUGACCCUCUAAUGCGGCCUCUCACCAGUGUUCGCAGAAACCCACCCGCUGAUUCAAUACGGGGACCAGGAACCUGCCAUGACAGUCACGACUCAGUCUGCCUGCACCUACAUGAUUAAAAAGCUUUAUUGCUCACACAAAGCCUGUUUGGUGGUCUCUUCAUAUGGAUGCGCAUAACAUUUGGUGCCGAAGACCCCGGACAGGGUGACUCCUUCGGGAGAUUGGUCCCCUCUCCUCACCCUCACUCCAUGAGAAGAUCCACCUACGACCUCAGGUCCUCAGACCAGCCCAAGGAACAUCUCACCAAUUUCAAACCGGAAGACAGGAAUGUCAGGCCUCUGAGCCCGAGCUAAGCCAUCAUAUCCCCUGUGACCUGCGCUUAUACAUCCAGAUGGCCUGAAGCAACUGAAGAACCACAAAGAAGUGAAAAUACCCAGUUCCUGCCUUAACUGAUGACAUUCCACCAUUGUAAUUUGUUCCUGCCCCACCCUAACUGAUCAGUUGACCUUGUGACAUUCCUUCUCCUGGACAAUAAAUCUCAGGAGCUCCCCACUGAGCACCUUGUGACCCCCGCCUGUACCCGCAAGAGGACAACCCCCUUUAACUGUAAUUUUCCACUACCUACACAAAUCCUAUAAAACCGCCCCAUCCCUAUCUCCCUUUGCUGACUCUUUUUUCAGACUCAGUCUGCCUGCACCCACAUGAUUAAAAAGCUUAAUUGCUCACACAAA
rnacentral:lncRNA from 1 species